UACGUAGGGUGCAAGCGUUUAAUCGGAAUUACUGGGCGUAAAGCGUGCGCAGGCGGUUUGGUAAGACAGAUGUGAAAUCCCCGGGCUCAACCUGGGAAUUGCAUUUGUGACUGCCCGACUAGAGUGUGUCAGAGGGGGGGUAGAAUUCCACGUGUAGCAGUGAAAUGCGUAGAGAUGUGGAGGAAUACCGAUGGCGAAGGCAGCCCCCCUGGGAUAACACUGACGCUCAUGCACGAAAGCGUGGGGAGCAAACAGG
rnacentral:rRNA from 1 species